ensembl:misc_RNA Metazoa_SRP Metazoan signal recognition particle RNA
GCCAGGCGUGGUGGUGAGUGCCUGUAAUCCAGCUACUCGGGAGGCUGAGGCAGGAGAAUUGCUUGAACCCGGGAGGCAGAGGUUGCAGUGAGCUGAGAUCUUGCCACUGCACUCUAGCCUGGGUGACAGAGCAAGAAUCUGUCUCAG